CCUACGGGUGGCUGCAGUGAGGAAUAUUGGUCAAUGGACGAGAGUCUGAACCAGCCAAGUAGCGUGAAGGAUGACUGCCCUAUGGGUUGUAAACUUCUUUUAUAAAGGAAUAAAACGAGGCACGUGUGCCUUUUUGCAUGUACUUUAUGAAUAAGGAUCGGCUAACUCCGUGCCAACAGCCGCGGUAAUACGGAGGAUCCGAGCGUUAUCCGGAUUUAUUGGGUUUAAAGGGAGCGUAGACGGGUUGUUAAGUCAGUUGUGAAAGUUUGCGGCUCAACCGUCAAAUUGAAAUUGAUACUGGCGGUCUUGAGUGCAGUAGAGGUAAGCGGAAUGCGUGGUGUAGCGGUGAAAUGCUUAGAUAUCACGAAGAACCCCGAUUGCGAAGGCAGCUUACUAAACUCUGACUGACGUUGAUGCUCGAAAGUGUGGGGAUCAAACAGGAUUAGAUACCCGAGUAGUC
rnacentral:rRNA from 1 species